CUUCCUUUUUCCAAAGAAGGCAACACUUACUGUUCCUGGGGGUUUGACAUGGACACAUCUUUUUGGAGGCCACCAUCUAGCCCACUGAAGAGAGUAAGGGCCUGAUGAUCUGGUGGGUGAGGUGCAGCCAGAGAGAUCAGUCAGUGGAAUUGUGAGUCAUCUUCACCCCUGUGCUUCUGAGGCUGACCUUGAACAUCAUCCCUCUCUUCAACCAGACACCCACUCUGAUCUUGAAUGGCAAAGCUCCUUCUUGGCCCUGCCCCUCACACAAAUGUGCAAUGAAAUACCACCUUCUAAAGCCUUCCUUCACCUUUUAAUCAAAGAGCCAUUUGCUGAUAUUCAUGAAGCCUCAAAGCCUCUUUCUUUAGCAGAUGAUUAUUAAUGGAAUUUAUACUUGUGUGUGUCUGUAUGUUAAAUGAUUGCCGUCUUGCAGAAAACAACUUGGAGGGCCCGCGUCUUCCCGUGUCUACA
rnacentral:lncRNA from 1 species